GCCGAAGUAGCUCAGUUGGUAGAGCAUACGACUGAAAAUCGUAGUGUCGACAGUUCGAUUCUGUCCUUCGGCACCA
rnacentral:tRNA from 1 species